rnacentral:rRNA from 1 species
UACGUAGGGGGCUAGCGUUGUCCGGAUUUAUUGGGCGUAAAGAGCGCGUAGGCGGCCGGGUAAGUCCGACGUGAAAUCUGGAGGCUCAACCUCCAGCGGUCGUUGGAAACUACUCGGCUAGAGUCCGGAAGAGGAGAGUGGAAUUCCUGGUGUAGCGGUGAAAUGCGCAGAUAUCAGGAAGAACACCGAUGGCGAAAGCAGCUCUCUGGGACGGUACUGACGCUGAGGCGCGAAAGCGUGGGGAGCGAACAGGAUUAGAAACCCCCGUAGUCC